rnacentral:rRNA from 1 species
GAUGAACGCUGGCGGCGUGCCUAAUACAUGCAAGUCGAGCGAACGGACGAGAAGCUUGCUUUUCUGAUGUUAGCGGCGGACGGGUGAGUAACACGUGGAUAACCUACCUAUAAGACUGGGAUAACUUCGGGAAACCGGAUCUAAUACCGGAUAAUAUUUUGAACCGCAUGGUUCAAAAGUGAAAGACGGUCUUGCUGUCACUUAUAGAUGGAUCCGCGCUGCAUUAGCUAGUUGGUAAGGUAACGGCUUACCAAGGCAACGAUGCAUAGCCGACCUGAGAGGGUGAUCGGCCACACUGGAACUGAGACACGGUCCAGACUCCUACGGGAGGCAGCAGUAGGGAAUCUUCCACAAUGGGCGAAAGCCUGACGGAGCAACGCCGCGUGAGUGAUGAAGGUCUUCGGAUCGUAAAACUCUGUUAUUAGGGAAGAGCAUAUGUGUAAGUAACUGUGCACAUCUUGACGGUACCUAAUCAGAAAGCCACGGCUAACUACGUG